rnacentral:rRNA from 1 species
UACGUAGGGCGCAAGCGUUGUCCGGAAUUAUUGGGCGUAAAGAGCUCGUAGGCGGUUGGUCGCGUCUGCCGUGAAAACCCAUGGCUCAACUGUGGGCUUGCGGUGGAUACGGGCCGACUUGAGGUAGGUAGGGGAGAACGGAAUUCCCGGUGUAGCGGUGAAAUGCGCAGAUAUCGGGAGGAACACCGGUGGCGAAGGCGGUUCUCUGGGCCUUACCUGACGCUGAGGAGCGAAAGCGUGGGGAG